rnacentral:misc_RNA from 1 species
AAGUCGUAACAAGGUUUCCGUAGGUGAACCUGCGGAAGGAUCAUUAUCGAGUUUUGACCGGGUUGUAGCUGGCCUUCCGAGGCAUGUGCACGCCCUGCUCAUCCAGUCUACACCUGUGCACUUACUGUGGGCUUCAGAUCGCGAGGCAGGCUCUUUACCGGGCUUGCGGAGCGCAUCUGUGCCUGCGUUUAUCACAAACUCUAUAAAGUAACAGAAUGUGUAUUGCGAUGUAACGCAUCUAUAUACAACUUUCAGCAACGGAUCUCUUGGCUCUC